rnacentral:tRNA from 1 species
GGGCCCGUAGCUCAGCCUGGAUAGAGCGGCAGCCCCCUAGGUGGGGUCACUAACGGAGACAGCUGUAGGAGAUUGCUAGAGGUCUCCGGCCAGAGGUCGAGGGUUCGAAUCCCUCCGGGCCUG